rnacentral:rRNA from 1 species
UACGUAGGGGGCAAGCGUUGUCCGGAAUCAUUGGGCGUAAAGAGCGUGUAGGCGGCUCGGUAAGUCCGCUGUGAAAGUCCAGGGCUCAACCCUGGAAUGCCGGUGGAAACUGUCGAGCUAGAAUCCGGAAGAGGCGAGUGGAAUUCCUGGUGUAGCGGUGAAAUGCGCAGAUAUCAGGAGGAACACCGAUGGCGAAGGCAGUUCUCUGGGCCGUAACUGACGCUGAGGAGCGAAAGCGUGGGGAGCGAACAGG